CCAGAGUAAAGGCUCAGUAGAGGAAACACAGAAAAUCCAAGCUUACGCUGACACAUGGAACUAGAUAAAAAUGGAACCAUUUGAAGAAAAGGCGUCCAUCAUAAAUAAGGACUGUGUACAGAAACUCUGCUCACGAUGGGAAACCACCAUUUUCCCACAGAACUGGAAUGAGCAAAGAACUGAAGUCAGCCCUAGGGUUUUACUCUUUGUGGGAUAAUCUUCUUUUAAUAAUCUUUUUUUUUCCCUCCUUCCAAAAAUGGCACCAGUCCCUUGGAGAUAUUAAGGAUUUUCAAAAUCUUUGGUAGAAUCAGUGUGGCUCUAGAAUCCGUUGCUCUGGGACGCCAUCAAGUCUGUCAACAGAAAAUGGGAAAUGUCCACACCCAGGUGCCAAAGCAGAAGGUCUGCGCAGCGGGGUUCAGUGUGAGCUCCCCUCACAUGUGCCAACGUCUUCUGGGUUCAGGGCUGCUGUAGACUACGUGACAAACACGCCCAAACUCACCCAUUCGUCAAACAGCAUCCACGACCCUACCGUCACCUUUAUUCCUAAUACUAUUCCUGUGACCAACAUUUAUUCCUAAUACAGACCUGCUACUCAAACUAGUUUUGCAACCACCUUGACAUAUCCUCAGUGGUGGUUACUUUUACCUGUUUAAGUUCAAAGAAUGAGCAUUUUUGGAAGUGUCUAAGAGACAUUUGGGGUCAAGCCUGGUGCCUAACUAGACGAUCAAGCUGAGUAACACCAUCAUUUGGUUUUCAAAAUACCUGCUGCAUAUUAUCACAGGCAUGGAAAGUCCCCUUUCUCAUUAGGCUUUUCUGCAGGCACUUCCCAAAGAGGACUCGUUUUCUGCAGGCACUUCCCCCAAAAUUAUCUUGAGCUGUAGCAGCAUGUAAGGAAACUGCACUUACAUUUCCCAUGAAAGUAUGGAUCACCCACGUUAGAACCACAGGGUCGGAGGAGUUUGCUAAAAUGCAGAUUUUGGAGCCCCAUCUGGACCUAUGAGGAAAUGAAACUGGAUCCACAGAUGGAGAACAACCAGGGAGGCUGACAAGGCCUCUGAUGAGACUAGAGGACAAGAGAAGCCACCGUGGGAGAAGCAGGAGGCCCAGUGCUCGAGGCAGCGGGAAGGAACACAGAAGACUCUGACCUGAAGAUGUGUUUCAAGACUAGAAAGGAGGCCUGCACAGUGGGAGCCCCUGGGUG
rnacentral:lncRNA from 1 species